GGUGGUUCUCGGGUGACGCAUCCCUGAAUUGGGCUUCCUCCUCUCUAAUUCCAGGUGUGUCACCAGAGAACCACA
rfam:Myotis lucifugus cont2.31374, whole genome shotgun sequence.